AGAACAAUUGAAGGUCUCUCAACCAAUAAGGAUCUAUUUUGAUAUGAAAAUAUUAAGAUUCAGUUGAAAAUGUCAGUUGCUAUGGCUUUAUGAUAUGAAAAUAUGAAUUUGGAGCAAAGGUCAAAAUCUAGAACGUCCAAUUAACCUAUGACCUUGACCCCAAUUUCAAGGUCAUCAACCAAGGAUCCCAAAUAAAAAGACCCUAGGUCAGUAGUAUGUAUGGUUCAUGAGUAAUAUCACUUUACGCAUAAUUCUAAAUAUAAGAGGGGCAAAAACUCCCGUUUAUUGUCUACGCACCCUUCCAAUCAAAAUUUAUAAGUUACUACAUUUCCCAACUAUCAAUUUUGUAAAAAUAAUUUGUCAAUAUUUAAUAAGAUGAAUGAAAAUGAGUGAAAAUAAGCCAAAAUCAAAAUUUCGAAUAUGACCUUGACCUUUGACCUUGACCUAAUUUUCAUUUUUUUUUUACAAAGGACCUCAAAUCUAAAGACCCUUGGUCUCUAUCACUUAUGGUUUACCAGUUAGACAUGCAUAUCACUUAAUUCAAAUGAAAAGGGGGAAUAACUCUCAUAUGGAGUCUCCGUUAAGCUUCGGUCCAAAUGAAUUCCUAAUCCUUAAGAUGUAACGAGCAAUUUGGUAAAAUAAAUUUGUCGUAAUCUUUUACGGUUGC
rnacentral:lncRNA from 1 species